GAUAAAGCAGGUGGAAGAAACACAAUCUGGCCGCCUAGAGGCUGCGUGAAGCUCGUGACCCUGCGGGGUGACUAACGGAGCUCAGCUGGGUGGGACCAGAAACCACGUCUGGGCACUCCUGAGUCACAGGCUCAGAAGCUUUCGCCUCCGCCUUCAGACUGGCCCUCAGGCUUCCCUGCUCAGAGGCAGGGAAUUGUGCAGCUGGAGUUUCAUUUUCCAAGAGGCAGGGUCUCAGUCUGUCACCCAGGCUGGAGUACAGUGGCACCAUCUUGGCUCACUCUAGCCUCGACCUCCUGGGCUCAAGUGAGCCUCCUACCUCAGUCUCCCAAAAUGCUGGGAUUACAAGCAUGAACCACUGUGACUUGCCUUCUUGGCAAUUUUAAAUGAAAGAAGAAGAUGGAAUAAUGCCUACUGAGGACUAUGUUUGAGGGGUGUUGUAUGACCCCGUUUUCCAUACCCAGCCAACUUGUCAUGUGACAAGUCCACAGAAAGAUGUUAUAUGACAGGAAUCUAUGAACUAGUCUUCCCUGAAAUGUACCUGACUACAGCUAACAUCAUAUCACAUGAUGAAAGACCGCGUUGUUUUCCCCUGAGGUUGGCAUGGGGACCUAUUGCUCACAGGAAGAAAAAAACAGCGUCCUUAUUUUGUGACUUCUGGCAACUGUCUUUUUCCGAGGAAGCCCCUUCCCUUCUGCCCUGCCUCUGAGUUCAAGCCGGGAUGCAGCUCCUAGUGUUUUCAAGCGUCUUACAGAUGGAGAUCAGCCCCGUCUUCCUCCAACGUCCCCACCCCGCAUCGGAGUCAGGACUCCACGGUGCUGUGGUCAGCACGGCUGCAUGGUCCUGCGACCCUGAGCCCCAGUGGGCUCUGACUGUGGUUACCAGCGCCUUAGGAGACAGAGUAACAGUCUGGAAGCAGAAACAGAGACUGUCCAUUUCAUAAACAGCCACAUCCGCAAGGUUUAUUCCUGGAUCACAAACCAACCC
rnacentral:lncRNA from 10 species